UACGUAGGUGGCAAGCGUUGUCCGGAUUUACUGGGCGUAAAGAGCGCGCAGGCGGUCGUGCAAGUCGCGUGUGAAAGCCCCCGGCUCAACCGGGGAGGGUCAUUGGAAACUGGGGAACUUGAGUGCAGAAGAGAAGAGCGGAAUUCCACGUGUAGCGGUGAAAUGCGUAGAGAUGUGGAGGAACACCAGUGGCGAAGGCGGCUCUUUGGUCUGUAACUGACGCUGAGGCGCGAAAGCGUGGGGAGCAAACAGG
rnacentral:rRNA from 1 species